rnacentral:rRNA from 1 species
AGUGAACGCUGGCGGUAGGCCUAACACAUGCAAGUCGAACGGCAGCACAGUAAGAGCUUGCUCUUACGGGUGGCGAGUGGCGGACGGGUGAGGAAUACAUCGGAAUCUACUUUUUCGUGGGGGAUAACGUAGGGAAACUUACGCUAAUACCGCAUACGACCUACGGGUGAAAGUAGUGGAUCUUCGGACCUUGCGCGAUUGAAUGAGCCGAUGUCGGAUUAGCUAGUUGGCGGGGUAAAGGCCCACCAAGGCGACGAUCCGUAGCUGGUCUGAGAGGAUGAUCAGCCACACUGGAACUGAGACACGGUCCAGACUCCUACGGGAGGCAGCAGUGGGGAAUAUUGGACAAUGGGCGCAAGCCUGAUCCAGCCAUACCGCGUGGGUGAAGAAGGCCUUCGGGUUGUAAAGCCCUUUUGUUGGGAAAGAAAAGCAGCAGGUUAAUACCCCGCUGUUCUGACGGUACCCAAAGAAUAAGCACCGGCUAACUUCGUG